CUUAAUUUAUUCUUACUACUGGCCGAUUCAUUCAGCUGUUGCACAUCUGUAAACCACCCCAGUGUCAUACGCCUUUGUGUCUUCACUCCACAGAGGCCCAUGAAUGUGCGGUUCUGAGCUACAGAUUCACCGGAGAGAAGGAGGUGGAUCUAAUAUCGACCUUUGUACCAGAGAUGUUCAGGGGCCAAGGCGUCGCUGCACUGCUGUCAAAGGCUGCCAUGGACUUUCUAGUUGAAGAAAACCUCAAGGCUCGUGUCUCCUGUUGGUACAUAAAGAAAUACAUUGAGGAGCAUCCAGUGCAGCAGUUUAAAGACCUAGUCAUCACCUGACUGCUGCUGAUUUGUCCACCACUGCUACCUCAAAUCAACUAUAACCUCAUUGUACAACACUACAGAGGCCAAAUGGAGGCAUUAUAAUUGUAUCAGUAUUUGUUUUUCUCUGGAAUUGUAUGAAAUUUUAUAUGAUCAAGAUCCCUGUUCGGAUCCAGCAAGCUAAGGCACAGAAUGAUUCACGUUCACAAGGUUUUAGGAUGAAGUUGCAGCUUUAUAAUAAUUUUAUUUUCAUGUGUUUUUGUUAAUCUGAAACUAUCAAAUUGAUUCCUCUUUUUAAUCAUGCAGUCUUAAUAUAUUAUUUGCAACAUUUGUUAAUUCUUCAUUGUUGGGAAAAAACAAAGUAUCAAGGUAUAAUGGGUAGAUAUUGAUGAUGUUGGGUUAUUUUUAUAGUAACAUUAUGUGUUUAUUGACAAGACGUGAUCUGUCUAUCAGCGAGUAAGAGACCAUGAACAAGAACUUGUUAAGCAACUUGUUUACCAUUGAAAUUAAAAUGAUGAUUUUGACA